UAGAUAAUUAUCAAUCAAAAGUACUGAUAAGUAAUCUAAAAACUCAACAAGAACUUUAUUACAACCAUCUAAACUACAAUGGUAUUAUAAAUUUAUUUAUACAGUCAAUAUGUAUCCAGCUUCCUCCACCGACCGAGCCUAGUCGGUGACAGCAUAUAGGGGCGACACGCGCGUGGAAGCCAAGAUGGGACAAAGUCAGUCCCAGUGUUGGGCAGAGCCCAUUGUGAAAGCAUCGUUUCGCUGAAAAAAAAUUGCU
rnacentral:lncRNA from 1 species